CAACUCGCCUGCAUGAAGUUGGAAUUGCUAGUAAUCGCGAAUCAGAAUGUCGCGGUGAAUACGUUCCCGGGCCUUGUACACACCGCCCGUCACACCAUGAGAGUCGAUAACACCCGAAGCCUGUGAGCUAACCGUAAGGAGGCAGCAGUCGAAGGUGGGGUUGAUGAUUGGGGUGAAGUCGUAACAAGGUAAC
rnacentral:rRNA from 1 species